rnacentral:rRNA from 1 species
GAGUUUGAUCCUGGCUCAGGACGAACGCUAGCGGCGUGCCUAAGAAAUGCAAGUCGAACGAAGUUAGAGAGCUUGCUCUCGAAGCUUAGUGGCGAACGGUCGCGUAACACGUAAGCAACCUGCCUCAAAGUUUGGGAUAGCCCUCCGAAAGGGGGAUUAAUACCGGAUGUGGAUAACUUUUGGCAUCAUUAGUUAUCUAAAGCAGUAAUGCGCUUUGAGAUGGGCUUGCGGCCUAUCAGCUAGUUGGUGGGGUAAAGGCCUACCAAGGCGACGACGGGUAGCUGGUCUGAGAGGAUGAUCAGCCGGACUGGGACUGAGAUACGGCCCAGACUCCUACGGGGGGCAGCAAUUAGGAAUCUUGCGCAAUGGGCGAAAGCCUGACGCAGCGACGCCGCGUGACUGAUGAAGUCUCUCGGGAUGUAAAGGUCUUUUCUGGAGGAAGAAAGAAAUGACGGUACUCCAGGAAUAAGCCCCGGCUAACUACGUGCCAGCAGCCGCGGUAAUACGUAGGGGGCGAGCGUUGUCCGAAUUUACUGGGCGUAAAGCGCGCGUAGCGGACUAUUAAGUUGGUGGUGAAAUCCCGAGGCUCAACCUCGGAACUGCCUCCAAAACUGUUAGUCUUGA